CGCGUUAUUGUCAGUGAAUCCAGUCAGAGGUCAAACGGGGAGAAAACUGGUCCAGGAUUAUUGGUAGUACUGAUCCUGAUGGGGAUAAUCGAUCAUUUGAUCAUCUGAAAGAACAAGAAACCCUGCAGGAAUAAAAAAAGUAAAGAAGACAAGAAAGAGACAAGAUGAACAUUUGAAGAUUGAGACUUCCAACAAUAGCUCAUAGUCACAGAAUACAGAUUAAGACAAAAGUCUUUUCAAAUCUAACGUAUAUUUUGAUUUAUAAAACGCUCAGUUCUGGUCCUUGAUUCUGAUUGGCUGAGCUGAGUUUUAAACUGUUAUAAAAUACCCCGAUUUAUAACGGCUGACUACACCACAUAGCCUAAAUAUCAUUUUAUUUACUUUAUUUUUAUGAAACCUUGCUAAGCAUAUGGAAUAACCGUUUUAUAAAAGCAAUAAGCCCCGUGAUGCAGUGGGUUACAGUGCAUUUUAUAACAGCUGAGGGGAUUGUAAUGACUCCGCUUCGCAUCGUGCCACAACACCCUUAGCUGUUAUAAAAUGCACUGUAACCACACGGCUUAUUGCUUUAUUAGAGACAUGACAUCUGUUUAACAUAUUGUACCGGAUUAGGUGUUUUUGCACCUUUUGGUAAGCAUUUCGCUUGUUCUUACUUUAUCCUGGAAUCAAAGUAUGUUCAUGUCAAUCUAUUUUCUAUGUUAAAUAUGAAAACUUAUUCAGCGAACACAAAUAAAUGUGUUGGAAUUAGCCUUCACAGUUCUGAUGACCUGCAGUAUGAUGAUGAUUUUUUGUAUGAUCUCUACUGCUCUCUAGUGGACAAACACUGAUUACACAUGAAGAAAUAAAAUGUUGAAUGCUGGUGAACUCAUAAGUCAUUUAUGCACAUUUUGAUGAAAGUUUAAUUAUUUAAUUAUUUAAUAAAUGUAACAUUACUGUU